rnacentral:tRNA from 1 species
GGGAAUGUAGCUCAGUGGUAGAGUACUUGCCUAGCAUGCAUGAGACCAGAAGUUCAAUUCCU